GACGAACGCUGGCGGUGUGCUUAACACAUGCAAGUCGAACGGUAAGGCCCUUUCGGGGGUACACGAGUGGCGAACGGGUGGGUAACACGUGAGUAACCUGCCCUCAUCUCUGGGAUAAAAGUCGGAAACGGUUGCGAAUACUUGAUAUGAACUUGCAAGGCAUCCUGUGGGUUGGAAAGAUUUUUUUUGGUGGGGGAUGGGCGCGCGGCCUAUCAGCUUGUUGGUGUGGUAGUGGCUCACCAAGGGUCCGACGGGUAGCCGCCCUGAGAGGGGGAGAGGCCACACUGUGACACAGAUACGGCCCAAACUCUUACGGGGGGCAGAAGUGGGGAAUAUUGCACAAUGGACGGAAGUCUGAUGUAGCAACGCCGCGUGCGGGAUGAGGGCGUUCGGGUUGUAAACCGCUUUCUAUUGUGACGAAGCUUUUUUGUGACGGUAGCAGUAGAAGAAGCACCGGCUAACUACGUG
rnacentral:rRNA from 1 species